AUUGAACGCUGGCGGCAGGCCUAACACAUGCAAGUCGAGCGAGCGGCGGACGGGUGAGUAAUGUCUGGGAAACUGCCUGAUGGAGGGGGAUAACUACUGUAAACGGUAGCUAAUACCGCAUACCAUCAGAUUUGCCCAGAUGGGAGUAGCUAGUAGGUGGGGUAAUGGCUCACCUAGGCGACGCUCCCUAGCUGGGCUGAGAGGAUGACCAGCGACACUGGAACUGAGACACGGUCCAGACGCCUACGGGAGGCAGCAGAGGGGAAUAUGGCACAAUGGGCACAAGGCUGAGGCAGCCAUGGCGCGUGUGUGAAGAAGGCCUUCGGGGUGUAAAGCACUUUCAGCGGGGAGGCGUUACCCGCAGAAGAAGCACCGGCUAACUCCGUGCCAGCAGCCGCGGUAAUAC
rnacentral:rRNA from 1 species